GAUGAACGCUGGCGGCGUGCUUAACACAUGCAAGUCGAACGAUGAUGCCCAGCUUGCUGGGUGGAUUAGUGGCGAACGGGUGAGUAACACGUGAGUAACCUGCCCUUGACUCUGGGAUAAGCCUGGGAAACUGGGUCUAAUACCGGAUACGACCAUCUGGCGCAUGUCAUGGUGGUGGAAAGCUUUUGUGGUUUUGGAUGGACUCGCGGCCUAUCAGCUUGUUGGUGGGGUAAUGGCCUACCAAGGCGACGACGGGUAGCCGGCCUGAGAGGGUGACCGGCCACACUGGGUCUGAGACACGGCCCAGACUCCUACGGGAGGCAGCAGUGGGGAAUAUUGCACAAUGGGCGCAAGCCUGAUGCAGCGACGCCGCGUGAGGGAUGACGGCCUUCGGGUUGUAAACCUCUUUCAGUAGGGAAGAAGCGAAAGUGACGGUACCUGCAGAAGAAGCGCCGGCUAACUACGUG
rnacentral:rRNA from 1 species